AAUUAAAACAGAGGAGAUAGAUGGUUCCAGAUGGACGUUGACUAUCUCUGAUUUCUGCCCAGUGCUCUGAAUGUUACUUUAGGGAAAUUUGAUUAAGCGCGGGUAAACGGCGGGAGUAACUAUGACUCUCUUAAGGUAGCCAAAUGCCUCGUCAUCUAAUUAGUGACGCGCAAAUGGAUCAACGAGAUUCCCACUGUCCCUAACUACUACCUAGCGAAACCACAGCCAAGGGAACGGGCUUGGCAAAGACAGCGGGGAAAGCAGACCCUGUUGAGCUUGACUCUAGUCUGGAUUUGUGAAGAAUCAUGCAUGGUGUAGCAUAAGUGGGAGACUUCGGUCAACAAUGAAAUACCACUACUUUCAUCGUUUUCCUUACUUAUUCGAUCAAAGGGGAUCGGUUUGUUCGCAAACUUGUGAUUGUUGUUAAGCCGCUUCGUGCGGUGACCCCGGUCGGAGACAGUUCCAGGCGGGGAGUUUGACUGGGGCGGUACAUCUAUCAAACAAUAACGUAGGUGUCCUAAGGUGGGCUCAGAAAGGACGGAAACCUUUCGUAGAGUAAAAGGACAAAAGCCCACUUGAUCUUGAUUUUCAGUACGAAUACAGACCGCGAAAGCGUGGCCUAUCGAUCCUUUCGAUUUGUAAAGUUUACAGCAAGAGGUGUCAGAAAAGUUACCACAGGGUUAACUGGCUUGUGGCAGCCAAGCGUCCAUAGCGACGUUGCUUUUUGAUCCUUCGAUGUCGGCUCUUCCUAUCAUUGCGUAGCAGAAUGCGCAAAGCGUUGGAUUGUUCACCCACUAAUAGGGAACGUGAGCUGGGGUUAGACCGUCGUGAGACAGGUUAGUUUUAUCCUACUGUCAUUGAAGUUGUCGCAAUAGUAAUCCUGCUUAGUACGAGAGGAACAGCAGGUUCAGACAUUUGGUUUAUGCGCUUGUCCGAUAGGAAAAUGGUGCGAAGCUACCAUCUGGGGGAUUACAACUGAAUGCCUCUAAGUUGGAACCCCACCUAGACAGGUUGACAAUAAUUUUGUACCCCGGUGUCGGGCGGUACUCUUAUGUAGCGCUUUGCGCUGCGGCUUCUACCCCAUAACUAACUUUGCAAGAACCCUUAACGGACUCUUGUUGUUGGUUCCUUACGACUUUGU
rnacentral:rRNA from 1 species